UACAGAGGGUGCAAGCGUUAAUCGGAAUUACUGGGCGUAAAGCGCGCGUAGGUGGUUUGUUAAGUUGGAUGUGAAAUCCCCGGGCUCAACCUGGGAACUGCAUUCAAAACUGACAAGCUAGAGUAUGGUAGAGGGUGGUGGAAUUUCCUGUGUAGCGGUGAAAUGCGUAGAUAUAGGAAGGAACACCAGUGGCGAAGGCGACCACCGUGGACUGAUACUGACACUGAGGUGACGAAAGCGUGGGGAGCAACAGGA
rnacentral:rRNA from 1 species